AUAAAUGGAAAACUGCUGAAAUCUCAGAAGGACCCAAGAACUCCACUCAUCAGAACCUGAAUAUUUGAGCCCCAACAGGUGUCAAGGGUUUUAUACGGAAUAUCUCUGCACAUACCCCUCAACUUUGCUAUGAAACUAAACUGUGCUUUAAUACAAAGAAAAAAAAUCAUAAAACAUACCAUCCAUGUCUUGACACUCAAAAGCUUUGAAGUUUUAGGAGAGGUAAAUGACUGAACUAAAAGAUGAAAGCAGCAAUGCCAUAUUACAGAUUAAUAUAAAAAUAUUAUGAAAAUUAAGAAAAAGAAAGGAUAACUUUUGUAAAUUUCCAUUAUAGCUCUUACCACAGCAUGUGGAAGGGGGCCUCUUUACAUGCUUUUUAACCUCCUCUCUGCCCCCAUUGGACUGAAUGUCACCUGGGAACUAAGUACCAUGGCUAAUUCAUCUUUGACUCACUUUGCUGUGCACAGAAUUCAAUAUAAAAGAAGACUUCAGCAAAUAUUGGUUUAAUGAGAAAUGCAUGACACUGCUCCAAAACUUUUUAAGAGGCAUACAAGGAAAGAGAGCGCAGUGAGAGUUACAGUUUAUUUCCCUCAAAAGCUCAAUGAGAAUUUGCAAGUACAGCCUACAGGGAGAAUAACUCAGGCCCUAUUCUAAGUGAUGCUGGAGCUGUCACACAAAUGUUUGCCCUCCUGGUGGGAUGUUAUGUCUGGAUAUGACAAUCAAAGAGAGAGCAGAGAGGAGUGGCAGCUGGUCAGUGAAACUAGAAAGCUGUACC